UACGGAGGGUGCGAGCGUUGUCCGGAAUCACUGGGCGUAAAGGGCGCGUAGGUGGCGCAGGAAGUCAACGGUGAAAGUUCGGGGCUCAACCCUGAAUCGGCCGUCGAUACUCCUGGGCUCGAGCACUGUAGAGGCAGAUGGAAUUCCGGGUGUAGCGGUGGAAUGCGUAGAGAUCCGGAAGAACACCGGUGGCGAAGGCGGAU
rnacentral:rRNA from 1 species